UACGGAGGGGGCGAGCGUUAUUCGGAAUUAUUGGGCGUAAAGAGCUCGUAGGCGGUUUGUCGCGUCUGCCGUGAAAGUCCGGGGCUCAACUCCGGAUCUGCGGUGGGUACGGGCAGACUAGAGUGAUGUAGGGGAGACUGGAAUUCCUGGUGUAGCGGUGAAAUGCGCAGAUAUCAGGAGGAACACCGAUGGCGAAGGCAGGUCUCUGGGCAUUAACUGACGCUGAGGAGCGAAAGCAUGGGGAGCGAACACG
rnacentral:rRNA from 1 species